UACGUAGGGCGCAAGCGUUGUCCGGAAUCACUGGGCGUAAAGGGCGCGUAGGCGGGGAGGUAAGUCGGGUGUGAAAUCCCUCGGCCCAACCGAGGAACUGCGCCCGAGACUGCUUCUCUUGAGUCCCGGAGAGGAAGAUGGAAUUCCCGGUGUAGCGGUGAAAUGUGUAGAGAUCGGGAGGAACACCGGUGGCGAAGGCGGUCUUCUGGACGGUGACUGACGCUGAGGCGCGAAAGCGUGGGGAGCAAACGGG
rnacentral:rRNA from 1 species